rnacentral:rRNA from 1 species
UACGGAGGGUGCAAGCGUUAUCCGGAUUCACUGGGUUUAAAGGGUGCGUAGGUGGGCCCGUAAGUCAGUGGUGAAAUCUCCGAGCUUAACUCGGAAACUGCCAUUGAUACUAUAGGUCUUGAAUUAUCUGGAGGUUAGCGGAAUAUGUCAUGUAGCGGUGAAAUGCUUAGAUAUGACAUAGAACACCGAUUGCGAAGGCAGCUGGCUACAGGUAUAUUGACACUGAGGCACGAAAGUGUGGGGAUCAAACAGG